rnacentral:lncRNA from 1 species
UACGCUGAAACUUCGAAAAAUCAUAACUUCCUCAUACGAAGUCAGAUUUGGGCGUUCUUUUUAUCGAACUUCUCGGUUUAACGAAUACUACGACUUUCGUUUAGAUUACUAAGGCUAAAAAGUAGUUUAUCAAAAACUCACUUUUUACGACAUUCAGCACCGUGCCGGUUUUGUCGCGAAACUUCGACAGGUCAUAACUUCUUCGUUAUAACUCGGAUUUUGGUAUUCUUUAUAUCCCCGAAAUCCUUGUUUCGACCACUACAACUUUAUGUAAAGAUAUCGGGCUUAUCUCACACUUUAAUUUUGACGCUUAUUUUUAUUCUUAAUUAAUUAAGCCCUAAUAAUUAAGCAUAAAACACAUAAUUCACAUAAUAUUCACAUAAUUCCUUUUCAUUUCUUCAAAAUGAGUUACAAAGGUUAACCUAGACUAUCAACUCAAUAUAAAUGCCUAGGCUAGAAACACGAGUGUUACAAUUCUCUCCCCCUUAGGAUGAUUCCGUCCCCGGAAUCACAUAUCACCAAACAACUGCGGGUAGCGACUCAUCAUGUCACUCUCCGUUUCCCAAGUGAGAUUUGGUCCAUUCGUAUGUUUCCAGCGCACAAGCACUAAAUCGACCAUCUUGCGUCGUAACUUCAUAGUCUUACGGUCAACGAUUGCCUCAGGUUCUUCGAUCAACCUCUUGUUUUCAUCCAACCUUAACUCAGAAAUCGGAAUUAUGUCGGGCACAUCUCCUGUGAACUUUCUCAAAUAACACACAUGAAAGGUGUUAUGAAUACCCUCUAGUUCUUCCGGUAACUCUAGCUUGUAAGCUUGAUUCCCGAUUCUCUGAAGAACUUUAAAUGGUCCAAUAAACCUUGGACUCAACUUCCCUCUCUUACCAAAUCUUAUAAGUCCCUUCCACGGCGAGACUUUAAGUAAAACCGAAUCUCCAACAUCGAAGGAUAUCGGUUGUCUUUUCUUGUCAGCAUAACUCUUUUGUCGAUCUUGAGCAGCUAACAUCCUUUCCCUUAUCACUUUCAACUUUUCAGCAGUCUCAUGGACUAUUUCAGGUCCCAUAAACUGCUUUUCCCCAGCUUCCAGCCAACAUGAUGGCGUUCGACACUUCUCCCCAUACAAAGCGUGAUAAGGUGCCAUCUUAAUGCUUGAGUGGAAACUAUUAUUAUAGGAGAAUUCUACUAAAGGUAAGUGUUCAUCCCAGUUACCUUGGAAUUCUAGGGUACAUGCUCUCAGCAUAUCCUCCAAUGUUUGAAUCGUUCGCUCGCUCUGACCAUCGGUUUGCGGAUGGUAAGCUGUACUCAAACACAACUUGGUACCCAAUUCCUCUUGUAGACUCCUCCAAAACCUUGAGGUAAAACGGCUGUCACGAUCGGACACAAUCGUUAACGGAACACCGUGAAGCCUCACAAUUUCCUUCACGUAAGAAUUCGCAAGUUUAUCCAUAGACCAUUUCUCUUUGGCCGCUAUGAAAUGCGCACUCUUAGUGAAGCGAUCAACGACCACCCAAAUCAUGUCGUGACCGUUCCUUGUUCUGGGCAGUUUAGUCACAAAAUCCAUGGUGACGUCUUCCCAUUUACCCAUGGGUACGGGUAAAGGUUCUAAACUCCCAUACGGUUUCUGAUGUUGUGCCUUAACCCUAGCACAAGUUACACACUCGGCCACAUACUUAGCAACAUCGAGCUUCAUCGUCGGCCACCAAUAAUAGGGUUUUAGAUCCCUAUACAUUUUCGUACUGCCGGGAUGAAUUGAGUACAUGGUCUUGUGAGCUUCUUCCAUCAGAAGAUCUCUUAUUCCGCCCGUCUUAGGUACCCAAAUUCUAUCUUGAAAUACCUUCAACCCUUGGUUGUUUGUACCGAACACUAACGUUUUGCCCAAACGUUCUUCCUUUCGGUCAUUUUUCUCUAAAGCUUCCUCUUGAGCUUUCUUUAUACUUUCCACAAUUGUCGAGACAACUUCAAUUCUCAAUGCUCUUGGCCUUUUCUUUUCAAGGUUUACCUUCCGACUGAGAGCAUCGGCAACAACAUUUGCUUUACCAGGGUGGUAAAGUAUCUCACAGUCGUAGUCCUUGAGUAACUCUAGCCAGCGUCGUUGCCUCAUGUUCAAUUCCUUCUGAUUAAAGAGAUAUUGGAGACUCUUAUGAUCAGUGAAAAGUUUACACUUGGUGCCAUAAAGAUAAUGCCUCCAUAUCUUCAAGGCAAAUACUACCGCUGCCAACUCCAAAUCAUGAGUGGGGUAGUUCUUUUCAUGUUCCUUCAAUUGCCUCGAUGCAUACGCGAUCACUUUAUCCCUUUGGGUCAGAACACAACCUAACCCAACUCCGGAUGCAUCGCUAUAAACUGCAAAGUCAUCAACUCCUUCAGGCAAUGAAAGAAUCGGUGCUUCACACAAUCUCUUCUUCAACUUCUCAAAGGCUUCCUUAUGCUUCUCAUUCCAAGCAUAAGUGGCUCCUUUGUGGGUCAAAGCUGUUAAUGGAGUAGCAAUCGAAGAAAAGCCUUGGAUAAACCUUCGGUAAUAUCCAGCUAAUCCUAAAAAGCUUCGAAUCUCCGUAGGACUUUUUGGUUGUUCCCACUUCAUUACAGCUUCAAUCUUUGCUGGGUCAACCAUUAUUCCUUCUUGGUUAACCACAUGACCUAAAAAUUGGACUUCUUGAAUCCAAAAUUCACACUUGGAGAACUUUGCAUACAGCUUCUCCUUUUUCAGGACUUCUAGCACUUCACGCAGAUGCUUUUCAUGCUCCUGCUUGCUUUUCGAAUAAAUCAAGAUAUCAUCUAUGAAUACUAUCACGGAUUUAUCUAAGAAUGGUUUACAAACCCUAUUCAUCAAAUCCAUGAAAGCUGCUGGGGCAUUGGUUAGUCCGAACGACAUAACCAAAAAUUCAUAGUGUCCAUAUCUCGUUCUAAAAGCAGUCUUUUCGAUAUCCUGCUCUCUCACCUUUAGUUGAUGGUAUCCCGACCUAAGAUCGAUCUUCGAGAAAUAGCUCGAACCCUGCAACUGGUCGAACAAGUCAUCGAUCCUUGGCAACGGGUACUUGUUCUUUAUCGUCACUUUGUUCAGCUCUCUGUAAUCGAUGCACAUUCUCAUGCUUCCGUCUUUCUUCUUUACAAAUAACACAGGGGCUCCCCAGGGUGAUGAACUAGGUCGAAUGAAACCUUUGUCCAAUAACUCCUGAAGUUGUGUCAUAAGUUCUUUCAUUUCGGUUGGCGCUAAUCGAUAAGGUGCUUUCGCUAUCGGCGUCGUUCCUGGUAACAAGUCGAUACGAAAUUCUACUUGUCGAUCAGGGGGCAAUCCGGGAAGAUCUUCGGGAAAGACUUCCGGAUAAUCACACACCACCGGAAUAUUCUGCACCUCCUUCUUUUCCAUCUUGGCAUCGAUCACGAAUGCUAGAUAUGAUGUACAUCCCUUGGCCAAACACUUUCUGGCUUUCAUUAGGGAAAUGAUUCCAGAGUUUACUCUGCGUUUGUCUCCGUACACCAUAAACGACUCUCUCCCUGGUGGGUUUACUUUUACUAUCUUCUUUCUACAUAGUAUUUCUGCAUCGUUGGCGCUAAGCCAAUCCAUUCCUAAAACUAUGUCGAAUCCAUUUAACUCGAUAGGCAAUAAUUCCUCUUGGAACUUAUUCCCAUCCAAGUCAAUGAGGAUGUUUUUCAUACGAUGGCUAACAGGUACAAACUUGCCACUAGCAAUCUCGACUAUUAUAGCAUUAACUAGCAUAUCUACAGGCAAAGCUAGCUUUCUACCAAAUUCAUGCGAUAUAAAGGAGUAAUUGGCUCCAGAAUCAAACAAAAUUUGGGCAGGCAAUUCGUUUACGAGAAAGGUACCUGAAGCGACAUCGGCUUCUUCUUUCGCAGCUUCGAGGGUCAUCUGAAAGGCUCUCGCCUUCGGCUUUGGUGGUAGAUUGGGUUUUGCUGCGUCCUUCUUCUUCGGGCAGUCCCUCAAAAUAUGCCCUUCUUCAUUGCACCCAAAACAUACGUUCUUAUUGAAGGUGCAUUCAUUGGCAUAAUGCCCUGGCUUUCCACAUUUGUAACAAGUGACUUCCACGCUGCACUUCCCAGCAUGUUUCUUCCUACACUUGUCACACCACUUGGCUUCGCUUCCUCCUCCAAACUUUCUCGAACCAGUCUUCGAGAAUUUGUUCUUUUUAUUGGAACCUGAAGUUCCUUCAAACUUUCUCUUUUCGCCAACUUCAACCUUGCUGGCGGCUCUCCCUUUUAUCAUAUCUUCAACAGACUUGGCAGCCCAGAUAGCUGCCUCCAAAGUAAGUGCCUGACGUACUGGCACCGCAUACUCCCAUGGAAGUCCCUUUGCGUACCUGUCUAUUUUUGCCAACUCAUCUGGGACAAUACGCAAAGCAAACUCCAUUUUGUCUGUGAAGUUAUUUGUAUAUUCGUCAACGGUCAUACUCCCCUUCUGCAACGUUAGAAAUUGGUUUUCUAACUCAAGUACGUUUUGGGCCGAGCAGUACUUGCGCUUGAAGUGCACUAAGAACUCUGCCCAAGUUAAUUGCAGUGGCUCGUUAGGGCUUAGGGUUUUCCCCAAAGUGCUCCACCAACGGGCAGCACUACCCCUGAACUGACGUACUGCAAACGUAGUUUGUAACUUGCCUUGGCAAUCACAAGUCAUGAAAGCCAACUCCAUUUCCGAGAUCCAGUCCAUUACUCCGACAGGAUCUUCUUUUCCAUUGAAGGUCGAUGGCUUGCAAGUCAUAAAGUCCUUAUACUUGCACCCAUUUCUCUCCACUCUACCCUCGUGGUUAUUCCUCCCAACCACAAGCGGUUCACUAUGACCAACCGAUCUGCUAUUGUUCCCUUCUUCAGAUCGAUCGUCAUUUAGUUCACGUUGUUCAACAGGAACUGAAGGUUCAUCCCUGUCGUUCAGCAACAUUUGCCUCAAUUCCUCCCUCUGUUCAGCCAACAUGGCCUGAAUCAUAGUUCGUACUCCAGCCAUGGUGAUGGGUUCGGGUGCAGCUCCUACUAUAGGCACCUGUUCCACCACUGGAGGUUGAGGUUGUUGGUUUCUGUUUGCAUUUCCAGCUCCACUCCGAGUUCUUGCCAUUACAAUCUAUAUACCGAAUAAGGCGAAAUUUAGGUCUUUAUCCUUGUUAGACAUGUCAAUUCCCUUAUCACUCCGAAACGUUUACAUGUUAGUUCUAAUCUCGUAUUCAUACACUUAGAAUCCUACACACAUAAGGUUUCCAGAUCCGGUCGGCAACAGACCAUAGAUCCGAACAAAUAAUGGCACACAUGGCAAACACAUAGCAUUUAGCACAUAAGGGCAUUUUAGGCAUCUUCCCUAAAAUAAACUAGUGCUCGUGUCUAAAAUAUGGUAGACACUCAUCUCACAAUCAUCACUUAGCAUUCUAAGUUCAAGUCUAGAAAUUCUACAAUUUCUUAGUUCGCUUAAACUAAUGCUCUGAUACCAACUGUGACAUCCCCAUAUUUCUCGGCCAGAAAAGACCGAUUUAAUUUAUGCUUUUUAAAAUAAAAUCAGAGAAAUCUUUUUAUAAGAUAUUGCGGAAUUGGUCCCCAAACAAUAUAUGAUAAAAGUUUAUCAAAAUCCUUCAUUAAGAAGGUAUAUAUUUUCCAUAUAUAUAUCAAAACCUCGGGAUGUCAUGUUCCGAUACAGAUCAAAAGCAUAAACAAGACAUUAUAAGCCUUUCAACAGUUAUUUACAACUACUGGCCUAUAAUCCAAAAAUCUCUCGUCAUCCUCCGACUAUGCUCGGGGUCCACUACCUGUAAUCAUAAAACUGAGUGGGUCAGGCUUGGGAGCCUGGUGAGCAUAUAGGGUUUUCAACCCACAAUAAUAAUAUACUUAUUAAGUUCACCAAUCAACAAUAACCCUGAUUACCCAUUCCCGUUGUCCUCACUUUACGUCCCUAAACACCUAUCACAAGGGACCUAGCCUAAGGAUUAUCAUCGGGAUGGACACUACUGCUAAGGGGUUUCCUCAGCCAUACAUGUCCUUAAGGCAACCAUGAGGGGGAUGAAGUACGCCAAUGAACAUUUAAUUCAUCAACACCUACAAGUUGCGAACCUGCUAGUGUUCCACUGGACUAUCUAGAAAGUCCGUGGUCGUCAUCUAUACUUCGCUAGAUGACUACAACAACAACACAACAUCGACAUCGAGGCCUCUCACCAUUUUAACACACAUCAACUAUUUCAUCUACCCAUGUUCUACCCAACAUAUUUUGUAGAUAAAAAGCAUAUACAGUUUAAAACUUGUAUAAAACAUCAAUUCAACAGUCACCUCGAAUAAACAAUUAGCAUAUUUACACAUAACACGUAUUUCAAGGUAAAUACUUCAUAUCUAUGUGUAAAUUGAAAGUAACUACACACUCACUUAUUUUGGUGAAAAUCGGGCAGCAAUUCGUUUCCUAAAACGAUCGUUUCUAAUAAAACCGGGAGUUUUAUUGAGAAACCGGGCUCUGCAAAAGUCGGGCUUCGAAACCGAAAAGAUAAAUUUUCCGGGCUUCUCGGGCACUUCGUGGGGUAUUCCGGGCUUUACAAUUGAUACCGGGGCUUUGCGGGAUGUUAAGAUGAAGAAAAUAUGGAGAGAGGGGCUAAAAAUGGCUAAAUUCCAAAAGUAACCGGAAACCCUCGCAGGUACCCUUCUAUUUAUAGGGUCCGAAGUUUGAUCCAACGGCUGAGAAGUCUCCUGAUCCGACGGCUAAGAGGCUUCGCAGGGGGGGUCUCGCACAUGGCUCGCACGGCUCGCACAUGGCUCGCACAUGCGAGGGCUCGCUGUCGGCUUCUAAGUGGACCGCGGCUUGCUGGCGCACCUGCGAGGCUCGGAGCUAGGCUAUGCGAGGCUCGGACACACGCGGCAGCUGGGCGAAGCUUCGGCUGGGGAGCUGGCUGCUUCGGAUUGGGCCUCCUCCUCGGUCGAAUCAGAAGAGGAAACGUGGCUUGCAUGACUCAUCAGCCUUGGUGACUCAGCAACCUAAUGACUCAGCAGCCAGGUGACUCAGCAGGACACGUGUCACUUUCUAAGCGAGGGUGACGUGGCAAUUGUGACUAUGCGAAAUUACUCGGUUUUUGCGCCAAAACUUCUAAAAUCCAUAACAUUCGCAUACGAGCUCCGUUUUUGACGUUCUUUAUAUGCACGCGUAGCUAAAAUUACGAUCUACAACUUCCGUUUAGACUUCGUCGGCUAAUUUUGACUUUAAAUUUUAUAUUAUUAUUUUUAACAGACCGGGACAGGAAAUCCGUUAAAAAUUCAUAACUUCUUCAUCCGACGUCCGUUUUCGUCAGACUUCUUACCGUUGUGCUCCUAAUGACGAGACCUUCAAUUCUAGUUUAGGUUGUGUCGGCUAAAAAUCGCUCGAUCCAAAAUUCGAGUUUUUAGCUGUCUACUGCUAUGCUGAAACUUCAAAAAAUCAUAACUUCCUCAUACGAAGUCAGAUUUGGGCGUUCUUUUUAUCGAACUUCUCGGUUUAAUGAAUACUACGACUUUUGCUUAGAUUAAUAAGGCUAAAAAGUAGUUUAUCAAAAACUCAUUUUUCUACGACAUUCAGCACCGUGUCGGUUUUGUCGCGAAACUUCGACAGGUCAUAAUUUCUUCGUUAUAACUCGGAUUUUGGUAUUCUUUAUAUCCCCGGAAUCCUUGUUUCGACCACUACAACUUUAUGUAAAGAUAUCGGGCUUAUCUCACACUUUAAUUUUGACGCUUAUUUUUAUUUUUAAUUAAUUAAGCCCUAAUAAUUAAG